CGUGUAGGCGGCCUGGUCAGCGGAGUGUGAAAGCCCGGGGCUCAACCCCGGAACUGCAUUCCGAACUGCCGGGCUAGAGGACAGGAGGGGGGUCUGGAACUCUAGGUGGAGCGGUGAAAUGCGUAGAUAUCUAGAGGAACGCCGGUGGCGAAAGCGAGGCCCUGGCCUGUCCCUGACGCUGAGGCGCGAAAGCGUGGGUAGCAAACA
rnacentral:rRNA from 1 species